rnacentral:rRNA from 1 species
UACAGAGGUCCCGAGCGUUGUUCGGAUUCAUUGGGCGUAAAGGGUGCGUAGGUGGCGCCGUAAGUGGGGUGUGAAAUCCCGGGGCUUAACCCCGGGACUGCAUUCCAUACUGCGGUGCUUGAGGACUGGAGAGGAGACUGGAAUUUACGGUGUAGCAGUGAAAUUCGUAGAUAUUCGCAAGAACACCAGUGGCGAAGGCGGCUUACUGGUCCGGUUCUGACGCUGAGGCGCGAAAGCGUGGGGAGCAAACAGG